rnacentral:rRNA from 1 species
CCCCUACGGGGGGCAGCAGUGAGGAAUAUUGGUCAAUGGGCGGGAGCCUGAACCAGCCAAGUCGCGUGAAGGAAGAAGGUACUUAGUAUUGUAAACUUCUUUUGUCGGGGAACAAAGGCGGAGACGCGUCUCCGGAUGAGUGUACCCGAAGAAAAAGCAUCGGCUAACUCCGUGCCAGCAGCCGCGGUAAUACGGAGGAUGCGAGCGUUAUCCGGAUUUAUUGGGUUUAAAGGGUGCGCAGGCGGUCUGUUAAGUCAGCGGUCAAAGCCCGGGGCUCAACCCCGGUCCGCCGUUGAAACUGGCAG